AAGAUGUAUUUAUAUAUUGCUCUUAUGAACAGUAAUUUUUUCUUUUUUUCCAGAUUCCUACCUUUGACUGAAACACCCUUUGGUAAGUGGCUUUCUCCAAUAAAGUAAUCAUUAUUGUGUGUAGCAUCAAUAACAGCUAUGAAAUUUCAGCUUCAUUUUGAUGGAGACUAUCUAUUAGAUAUGAAGUCUCAGUUCUAUUUUGAUUGGGACUAUUUGUACUACCGGCGCAGGUUUCCAUUGACCGGUCCCUGAGCACAGUAGUUGAUGGUGAGCUCCUCCCUUCAUCUUCUUAUAUCUCUGUAAAGAGGGCUGCUUGAAAUUUACUCAGAAGAUUUACUUAGAUAUGUGUAAGACACAUGCUGAAUCAAUUACUAUGAAAGAAAUUAAAAAUUUUUUUGAAAAUUUUGGCCUUGUUUUCCCAGCAAAAAAGUGUGGACCGGACACUAUUUUACCGCCUUGUCCAUAUAUUUAUGAUGAUCAAUUUUUAAUCUUCUGUCGUGUUUAUUAUAAUUUGAUUUUUACAGAAUCACCAAGUGUACCUGCAGAAGUCUCUAUUCCCACUUUUGAAUCACCAAGUGUACCUGCAAAAGUCUCUAUCCCCACUUUUGAAUCACCCUCAUUAAGUAUCAGUUUACCAAAGCCAAAAUACGAUGAUUCUCAAACUUCUCUCACGGAUUAUUCUGAACUUUUUGAAACAGCAGUCUCAGACGAUUCUCAGAAUGUCAUCUCUAAUCUCUCGUUCAGUAAUCAAAAUACUCAAGAAUCUGUACUGGAUUCUGAGAGAGAUAUAUCUAUUGCUACCCAGGAUAGCUCAGCAGUCUCUGUCUCCCAAGUAGAAUCCUUAACUGUUUCUGAAGAUGUACCAGAAAAACCUGAUAAUAUACUUGACAAAGAGUCUGACCUUAAUAGUUCUUUACCGACAAAAAAGAAAUUCAAACGAAGGAAUCAGUCAAUGUAUGCUGUGAGUACUGAUGAUACUUCAAAUUAGUAAUUGAUUUAACAAGCACGAAAGUAGAUCCAUUAAAAGCUUGUAGCAGAAAUGCGAUUGAACGGAGCACUAGACAUGCUGCGAAGUUAAGCAUUAUGAUUUCUCAUCAAAUUUCACAUACAACCCGAUUCGUGCCAAAAAAUUAUUGAAAGAAACUCCUUACCAAGAUAAUAAUGUUUUUUGAUGCAUAAAUACAAACUUUCCAAGCAUGAAAAAUCCAUAAUCUACUUGAGUUAAAUCGCACAUUAAACGUUACUGCAACAGUCUCUGUGGUAUGAAAAUAUGGUAGCCUCAAUUUGGGAGCUUCGGCUCAGCUGUCGCUUGUUGUUCACUCUUUGGACAACACAGGGCGGAGAAGGAACACUGCUGGAUCAAGAAACCUGUCAAAACCGCUAUAAUGUGCAAUUUGAUUCACCGAGGCCCUGAUCUUUCUUGUGUGCAGGAAAUUCAAAUUUUUCAUAACUAGCGCUAAAUCAAAACGUCACUAUCUUGGUUAGGAUCGACUCAUGGACCAUUUUGUCGUAGGAGUUAAUGUCUGUAAUUUUCAUUGCACUAGUUGCGUUUUGUGAAAUUUUGAAGAAAAAACAUACAUCAGAAUGCUUAAACUUGUACCGUGAUUGCUGGUCCAUCAAAGAAUCCAGUAGUUCAGAAAUCAAUACGUUUUUAGGACCGGAUGAAUGUCAAGUUUCUAUGUCCAGCAACUGUAAAGGUAAAUCUGUUGACAAAUUGUAGAAAAACUUAGCGCAUUAUGUCAUCUUGUGUCUAUGCAUAGGCACAAUGGUUUCUUUGUCUUUAGUCUCGUUAGUAUUACGCAGCUAACAUUCAUCAUCAAAGUUUCUCCACGUAACACAUCUUUAUUAAUACAUAUAUGUAGGCUGUAAAAACUUUACAUUCUGACAUAUCUAAACGUUUUUUACUACUUUGCUCUUUUUUGAGCUACCAUUUAGGCAGGAUUUUUUGACCCAGUCUGUUAAUCUUUGUAAGCUUCAUUAUCAUUAAUUUUGACUCAACAAAAUCAAUCAUCAUGGGUGGCGGUAGCCAUCUCCGGACAAAGUCUAAUAUUGUAGAACCAUUAGAACUCUUUGUCGGUACUCUUUCUGGUGUAAAAAAAAAAAAAAAAAAAAAAAAAAAAAAAACAGAACAAGCUUAGCAUGAAUACUUUCUUUUAAUUGGCACCGAGUGAACCAAUCGACAGUGAAACUCUCAGUAUCUUGGUUUACAACAUUGCAGACUCCCUGUAAUAUUUAUUUUUAAAUGAAAAACUACUCGAUGCCAAUGGUUUAAAACUUCUUCUCUUAAAAUUUUUCCUCUCUAAGUGAAGAAAAUUCUGUAAAAACUCCUAAGAUUAUUGUUGAUUUGGUCUCUAUGAAAAAAGUAUAAAGGGAGCGGAGAUUGGUAAACACUGCAAACAAGAUACUUGAUUUUGGAAUUUCAUAGUCAAAAUUUAGCCACCACCAGUGUUUUAAUUGAGAGAGAAAUUUGACCCUGUUCACAUUUUAGAGACUCUCUGACUUUUCUAUCUUAAAGCUUAGUUAUAUGGUUCACUAGUUAGGUAACAGUUUAUCAUUGAAAUUGAAAUGAGCCAACAAAGUUGCAUGCAUUUUAAAUCAUCUCGGUUAUUAUAAAGUGAAGGUAACGAGUUAUGUUCUUGUUGAUUAUUUUUACAAUAUUGUUAUUCAUAUUUGUCACCUGUGAUUUAGUAUAUCAUUUUUGUUGCAAUGAACGGGAUCUUAAAAUUUGACUCAAUUUAUGCAACAGUAAGUGAUUAGUCGAUGGUUUUAUUAACAUUCAAGUUUAGCCUCUAAAUUUUUAAAUCAUCGAUUCUUUUUCUUAUUCAUAAAAAAAACAUACUACUGUGAUCUGCAUGUUGAAUGCGCCAUCACCAGCAAUAAUUAUGAAAGUGCCCGUUGGACAUUGUAUGAUUCUAGCCAACGGAUAACUAAAUCUUCUGAUACCUAAAAUUCCAAGGCAGCAAUCUCAGGGCUUGGUUUGAGCCUCAGGUGCGCAUCCUUAGAACUGAAAGAGGAAUUUGCCACAACAGAAAUAUCAUUUUUACCACGGGAAAAUGUAUUCAAAUUUACGACAGUUGAAUUGGCUCUUCCAAAACCAUCCGAUGUCCAUUUAUUUUUUUCUUCCUGUGCCUCAUUUCUUUCUAGACGAAGUGACUGCACUGUUUGUAUGAAGAUUGUAUGGGAGACAUGCAUAUAACUGGCACCUUUGCAUGUUUAGGAGAAUUCUGCUUACCGUUGGUAGGAGGUAAAAAGGAUUUCCAUGUGAGUAUCUUAAAUCGUUGGAAGGAAAUGUCCAGAUGACGCACAGUAAAAUUUUGGACCUGAAUGGAGAGGAGUUGGAUCUUAAAGAACCCAUUUUUUCAGAAUUCUACCUGACCAAAUAUGAAGUUCUGUCGCAAGUUAAAAAGCUAAGUUUAGUGGCUUUAAGAUGCUCUUUAUUGAUUUUCUCUAUCUAUCUUAGAUUAGGAGGUAUAAGAUAGCAUAAAAUACUCUCGAGUCAACUGUAGUAAAGACCCCUACUAAAAAUAAGUAUUUUCUGACGGUUCUCAGAACUUGGAUUCUUAGGCUUUCACGGAUUUUGACCUUUAUGAAAAAUGUGUUUCUUGGACAUCAGACGUUUUUGAACGAGCUAACUCAACCGUAAUUAUCGUAAUUGCAUCCAUGUUUUCUUGAUAUAUUUGAAAUCUGAUAAGGUGUAUCGAAGACAAGAAUUAAUAACAAUGGAAAAAAUGUCCUGUAGAUACUGAGCAAUUAUUCAAUAACUUGAAGGCGACCUCAUUUUAAACUUCCUGCAACAAAAGACUAAUCCCACUUUUUUGAGAUCCUCAACUGCAAGUUCUUGAUAAAAUGUUUAUACAAAGGCCAUUUGUAGCAGAUUCAUCUUCAGUUGCUUUUAUUUUUUAUAGUAAUCCCAUGUAAAUUUUAAUUUUUUUAUCAAAUUAUUUAAAAUGGUUUUUUUUUCUAGCUGACUCAGAAGCAAUACUAUCUAUUCCAUUUAUUUACAGAAUUUAUCUCUAUUUGAAACGCAGAAGUUACUUUCAUUAGGUUAACAAGAAACUGUGAUAUUAGGUGUUAUUGUAGAAAAAAUGAUUUUCUUCAAUUUUUCCCCUGUUCUGUAAAGUCUAAUUUUAAUCUUAAUGGAUUGGUGUUUAAUGCCACGGUGAGCUUAGUGCAGGAUACCACAGAAUGUAUUAAAAUUAUUCUCACCUGCCUUAAUAACAAUGGCACUCUUCGAAGAAUUUUAAAGAAGUCUAAACCGACCUCAGCUAGGUGCCUAAUUUUUUUUAUUAGAACUAAGCUCACAAUUGAGUUUGAAAUCAUGUAAUCUUCAUCCCAAGAUCUCUUUUAACUGUUAAAUGUUUUAAAAUAAAAACACGGAACACCUGUAAUAAUUGCUAGUCAGUUUUAAGAUUACAUAUUUUCUCAAAAUAUUAAAUAGUACAUAAUGUAACUUCAAGACAUAAAAUACCCACUCGAGGAUGAACUCAAACAUUGAAACGCAAAUUCCGUUUAAAUUUGAAAAGAAAUCAACACUUUUUGUCGUGCACUUAUUUUCAUUGCAUUUUUUGCCUUUUACUAUUGUAUAAAUAAAACUAAAGUAAAAAAUAAUGGUAACAGAAAUUUUACCAAUUUAUUGUUUAACCUAUCACAAACCACAGGACUUUUUUUAUAACCUAUCUGAGGAACAAAAAGUCUUUCAUGUAAAUUUGGAAAGUUCAAAGUUCCCAAGUUUUUUUGUAGGACUUGGAGAGUCUUGUAGUUUCUCUUGCCAGCUUUGAAACCAAUUUUAGUGUGAUUAAAUACACUUCCUUCCGGAUAUAAAUUGGAAAAUUGAGAUAUGUGGGAGCUCCUGCCUUUACUAACAUGACCUGUUACAUAUUAUGCAUUUUUUCACACCUAUAACCAUCCAUUCCUCCAUGAUAUUUCCUUAGGAUAACAGGUACAAACUUCCAUUCCCCAGGUAGAGAGGGCUUUCAGUGAUGAUAUAAGAUCAUCAUAAAUGGAGAGCAUUCGAAUGAAUCUCAAUCCUGACAAAAAUGCAGCGCUUUAGUGUUUUUACAGAGAGGGUAAAAAUUAAUUUAAGACAUUUGCCUUAAGAGCCAGUAAUUUUUCAAAACAUAGGUUUAACAGGAUACAAUCUUCAGAUUUAUAUA
rnacentral:lncRNA from 1 species